GUGGGGAAUAUUGCACAAUGGGGGGAACCCUGAUGCAGCAACGCCGCGUGAGCGAUGAAGGUCUUCGGAUUGUAAAGCUCUGUCUUCGCUGACGAUAAUGACGGUAAGCGAGGAGGAAGCCACGGCUAACUACGUGCCAGCAGCCGCGGUAAUACGUAGGUGGCGAGCGUUGUCCGGAAUUACUGGGCGUAAAGGGUGCGUAGGCGGUUUUUUAAGUGGGAUGUGAAAUCCUGAGGCUUAACUUCAGAAUUGCAUUCCAAACUGGAAGGCUAGAGUACAGGAGAGGAAAGCGGAAUUCCCAGUGUAGCGGUGAAAUGCGUAGAGAUUGGGAGGAACACCAGUGGCGAAGGCGGCUUUCUGGACUGUAACUGACUCUGAGGCACGAAAGCGUGGGGAGCAAACAGGAUUAGAAACCCUAGUAGUCC
rnacentral:rRNA from 1 species